AACGCUAGCUACAGGCUUAACACAUGCAAGUCGAGGGGCAUCAGGGUAGCAAUACCGCUGGCGACCGGCGCACGGGUGAGUAACACGUAUCCAACCUACCGUUAACUCGGGGAUAGCCUUUCGAAAGAAAGAUUAAUACCCGAUAGUAUAUUUUCUUCGCAUAUUGAAAAUAUUAAAGAAUUUCGGUUAUCGAUGGGGAUGCGUUCCAUUAGGCAGUUGGCGGGGUAACGGCCCACCAAACCUACGAUGGAUAGGGGUUCUGAGAGGAAGGUCCCCCACAUUGGAACUGAGACACGGUCCAAACUCCUACGGGAGGCAGCAGUGAGGAAUAUUGGUCAAUGGACGAAGGUCUGAACCAGCCAAGUAGCGUGAAGGAUGACUGCCCUAUGGGUUGUAAACUUCUUUUAUAUGGGAAUAAAGUUCUCCACGUGUGGAGUUUUGUAUGUACCAUUAUGAAUAAGCAUCGGCUAACUCCGUGCCAGCAGCCGCGGUAAUACGGAGGAUGCGAGCGUUAUCCGGAUUUAUUGGGUUUAAAGGGAGCGUAGGUGGACUGGUAAGUCAGUUGUGAAAGUUUGCGGCUCAACCGUAAAAUUGCAGUUGAUACUGUCAGUCUUGAGUACAGUAGAGGUGGGCGGAAUUCGUGGUGUAGCGGUGAAAUGCUUAGAUAUCACGAAGAACUCCGAUUG
rnacentral:rRNA from 1 species